GCAUAUCAAUAAGCGGAGGAAAAGAAACCAACAGGGAUUGCCUCAGUAACGGCGAGUGAAGCGGCAACAGCUCAAAUUUGAAAUCUGGCCCCCAGGCCCGAGUUGUAAUUUGCAGAGGAUGCUUUGGGCGCGGCGCCUUCCGAGUUCCCUGGAACGGGACGCCACAGAGGGUGAGAGCCCCGUCUGGUUGGAUGCCUAGCCUAUGUAAAGCUCCUUCGACGAGUCGAGUAGUUUGGGAAUGCUGCUCUAAACGGGAGGUAUAUGUCUUCUAAAGCUAAAUAUUGGCCAGAGACCGAUAGCGCACAAGUAGAGUGAUCGAAAGAUGAAAAGCACUUUGAAAAGAGGGUUAAAUAGUACGUGAAAUUGUUGAAAGGGAAGCGCUUACGACCAGACUUGGGCCCGGCGGAUCACCCGGCGUUCUUCGCCGGGGCACUCCGCCGGCCCAGGCCAGCAUCGGUUUGCCGCGGGGGAUAAAGGCGGCGGGAACGUAGCUCCCUCGGGAGUGUUAUAGCCCGCCGUGUAAUACCCUGCGGCGGACCGAGGACCGCGCAUCUGCAAGGAUGCUGGCGUAAUGGUCGUCAGCGACCCGUCUUGAAACACGGACCAAGGAGUCGUCUUCGUAUGCGAGUGUUCGGGUGGAAAACCCCUACGCGUAAUGAAAGUGAACGCAGGUGAGAGCUUCGGCGCAUCAUCGACCGAUCCUGAUGUUCUCGGAUGGAUUUGAGUAAGAGCAUACGGGGCCGGACCCGAAAGAAGGUGAACUAUGCCUGUAUAGGGUGAAGCCAGAGGAAACUCUGGUGGAGGCUCGCAGCGGUUCUGACGUGCAAAUCGAUCGUCAAAUAUGGGCAUGGGGGGCGAAAGACUAAUCGAACCUUCUAGUAGCUGGUUUCCGCGA
rnacentral:rRNA from 1 species